GCUGUUGCGCUAUUGAGAGCAGACGUUGGUAUCUGGCGAAGGGAGCUCUGACUCUCGCAAGCUUGUACCUUUGAAAAAUCUGGUGCCGCUGGACUCCCACCCUGCGGUGCCACUGCUGACCCAGACGGGUCCCCACCUCAAACGAUUGAGCUGUUGAGGCUCACUGACUGCCAGUGUGGCUUCCUGCCCAAUGCUCUUGCGUUGAAACAAGCGAAAGUAAAAAAAAAAAGUCAAACCCAAACAACCGACGGUGAGGAGGAAGGGAGGGUGCCGCGCUCGCUCGGGAAGGCUGCCGGUCGCCUCCUGGAAUGCUCUCGGCUAGAUCAGCGUGAGAGUCGCAAAUAGGGCAUGGGCUUUACCGCGGCAGCUGAGAAAUGGGGGCGCUCCCGUGACAGCCCCGUCGCCUCGUCACGCUGGAAAAGUCGCUGCCUGACUCUGAGCAGGCCCCCACCCCCAUACGUCGCUGGAAACUCUGGUUUGCAUCCUUGACGUUGUUCGUUAACACUGCAGCGGGUCGGAGGCUCUGCGCUGGCUUCUGAAACAUCAUGUGCUGGCGACUUACGUUCGCAGUUUACUCUCUUAAACGUGUUUGGCAACAUGCUGAAUCUAACUGCAACACAUUUAGCAGUGCCUUCCAUGAUAGCAGUUGCUGUGGCGUAGCUGUGGCAGUCUUCGGCGGCGGCUGUAAACAGGCGUCUUGUGACACCUUCAAGGCUAGUGGGUUUUAUGCUAGCCUAAGCAUCUAGACCGGUGCAUGGAAGGAGGUGCUCCAGAGGAUCCAAAAAGGGCGAGUAGAAACGCGCUUGAGAAUGUUUGCCUUCAGUAGCAAGUGCAUAUAAUUAUGAACAGUCACUUCCUUCCCUCUUUGUUAAGCAAUAAGCCCACAGUUACCAUCUUCAUUCUUUGCUCAUAUCUGCUACAGGUACAGAUGAAACAUGAUGCUAAUUUGAGUGCUGUAUUUAGGGACCUGAAAAAUAUUAAAACCAGUUGUAAGAUUAAUGCCUCUUUCUAUACUGGAGAAUAUACUAAAGAAUGUAAAGAAUCAGUGAUGAGAUGCUUUAUCCUUGAAAUGCAAGUAAUUCACUAUGAAUCUCGGUUUGAAAGUAAUUUGAAAUUCAACCGUGCUGUGCAUAAUGUGCUGAAAAAUAUCAACACACAUUUUUCAGUCAGAAAUUAUCAGAACACAGAAACAUCCAACUGCCAAGAAUGUGAAACAUUUGAAGAAAAAGAAUGUACAGGUUUUUUAACAAACUUUGAACAUGUUUUACAACAGUUUUACAGAGAACGAAUAGGAAGAAAGUAAUAAAAUAGCAUCAAGAAAAGGUAGAAGAUAUUCUACUGCAACAGGAAAGACCUGAAAAUGAAGAAAUAUGAUAUGCAAUGGGGACAAAAUAGAAUCAGUAGUGAUGAAAGAGUUGCAAAGUUGGUAACUUUCCUGUGUGUUUAAUUUUCAGGAAAAAAGAGCACAUUUAUAAAGCAGGAAUAAGCCUGUUACGACACAAAAAUAGUUAAAUAUUUGCCCUUUCGUGUGUGUGUGUGUGUGUGUGAAUUAGAAAGCAACAUAUAAUAUUGUAUUGUAGAUCCCCGUUGUGCAGAUACUUAGACCCGCAGAUCAGGGCCACUUGAACAAAACUAGGUAUUUCUCUAUUUUUUCCAUAUUUCUAUACUUUUAUAACAUGAAAUCCUAGAAUUAAUCAUUCUAGGAAGACUCAAGGCCACAUUUCCAGUAGAUUGUACAUGAUUAUGUCCAACACAAGGAAAGAUUGUUCUGAAAUCUGAUUUUCUGACUACUUAAUGAUUUCUUUUGAUUAAGAGUACUGAGAUACUUAAAUUGCAAUUGUAACAAUUCAAUAAUAGUAAAUAUAAAAAUCUUUCAAACUACAGAAAACACAAAAAAGAAAAUAGAUAAACCAAUGAAAAGUACUACAUUUUCAGAUGCUUGUGUGUCAAGAUGCUGGUAGCAUCUGCCAUAACCAUACCUGGGGGUGGGGGGGUUAGGACUAGAGGUGAUGAUGUUAUGACUGUCUCUUAGACUAUGCUUGCAGAAGGAAAGGAGCCCACUUAACCUUGAACCUUAUGUCCUCUCCUGUACUGUUAGUUCCCAGCAGAUUUAGUCAGCCUCUAGAAAGGGGGGGGGGGGAUGUUAGUCUGUAAAUGAUCUAGGUGCUUGAUAUGUAGGCAUGCCUCAUCCCUGACAAUGAACCCAGUAAGAUCAUGAACUAGCAACUUUUCAGUAAAGCUCAUACUAACAAAUAGUGGAGUCUUUUGAGGGUUACUCGGCAGAUCCUUACAUUGUGUUUAAUAUUUCUUAGGGGUGUACGAUUCGGGUUUCGGAUUCGGGUAAAGUACCCAAAUCGGACCCAGUUCGCAAUGAUUUGGGAUUUCCAAAUCGGGCCCAACAUGCUGCCUUUUUUGAUACUUAAUGUGCAAGUUACCAUGACUUAACAACGUUGGAUUCCAUGGCUCUCUUUGCCUAAGUAAGGAUCCUUUCUCUGGUGGAGGAGGGCUUCUGCACUUAGUAAAAGGAUGCAGUAGGCUCUAACCCACUGACAUUAAUAUUAUAUUAAGAGUGACAUGGCAAUGCAAACCUGAUGCACCCCAGGGUGGAGGUGUCCCAGUGUCUGCAUAGUUAUGGUGCAGCAAGCCUGCUUCCUACGGACCUUCCACAGGGGGAUAUGCCAAUACAUGCCUCCCAUCAGGCAGCAUAGCACAGUAAGCUCUCUAGAGUAACUCAGAGUAACAUAGUAACAUAUAAAUCACUCAACAGCAGCCGAUGACCAUCACUGGCUGCCAGUGCAGCCAUUGCCCCCAUCCCACAGAGAGCCAGCAGACAGGGAGAAAGGACCCUGCAACUGCAGCAUCCUGACUCAUGGCUUGAGAGGCCCCCUUUCCAGCCCGCAGGGGACACUCACCCCAGGGGCAGACAAGAUGCCCACCCUCUGGUGGGGGCCCAACUCACAACAAAAAUGCCAUCCACUCACAAUGCCAUCCUUGGCUCUGAGCCACAAACCCCCUGCCCCUGGAAAGGUAAAAAUAGAAAGGCAAACAACAACGAAAAAAGACCCAAGACUUGCCUCAAACCCACAGCCACUCAGCUCUAGCCCCUAACCCCAGGGCCAGGAGAGGAGGUUCCAAGGAGAGAUGCCCGCAGGAAUUGAACACCCCACUGCAAUCCUAAUGUCAUCAGAGCCAGCCUGAGAAUACAGAUCAGGCCAGCCUGAGAUACAGAUCAGCAUGGCUUAGUGGAAAGUCACUGGGGUAGCACAGCUGGGACUCCUGGGUCAAUGCACUCAAAGGGAGAAGGGAGAGAGACAGGCAUAAGUCUGGGGGUGACUUUUUGCCCCCUGCAAAAAGCAAAAGGGGGAACAGGGUGGCCUAACUGAUGGGGCACCCCACAGAGCCAUAAUUUUGGCUGAGACAUGGCUUCACAACUCCCCCUCUGUUGUACCCAUGGCAGCAGAGCCCUUGCAUCCACCUUGCUCCCCCCCCCCCAACAUGCAUUGUGUGGCUUAUCACGUGCCAGCAGUGCUAUGGGAGAGUGUGGGAUCCAGAACAUCCCCCCUUUGCUACUGCAACCAGACACUGUCUUGAGCUGUCCUCCAGCUCAUUCCCUGUGCAAGUCACACACAGCAGGCUGUUGUGUGAGGCGGGGCGGGGGGGGGGAGGAAGAGGGGACCUAAGGUGGGCUCAGCCUCCAAGGCGCCAUCAUACAGCCCAGACUUUUAUUAGACUGUGCCUUAAGAUCAAAAUAAUCCAAACUAUGGUAUUCCCCAUUGCCAUGUAUGGAUGUGAAAGUUGGAAGAAAGCUGACAGGAAGAAAAUUGAUUCAUUUGAUAUGUGGUGCUGGAGGAGAGUUUUGCAGAUACCAUGGACAGCCAAAAAGACAAAUAAGUGGGUGCUAGAUCAAAUCAAGCCUGAAUUCUCCCUAGAAGCUAAAAUGACAAAACUGAGGCUAUUGUACUUUGGUCAUAUCAUGAGAAGACAAGAUUCUCUGGAAAAGUCAGUAAUGCUAGGAAAAGCGGAAGGCAGUAGGAAAAGAGGAAGACCUAAAACGAGAUGGCUUGACUCAAUAAAAGAAGCCACAUCUUCCAGUUUGCAGGAUAUGAGCAGGUCUGUUAGAGAUAGGACAGUUUGGAGGUCUUUCAUCCAUAGGGUUGCCAUAGGUCGGAGACGACUUGACGGCACAUAACGCACACACACACACACACACAACACAUUAUGUAGGAGUCUGAGGAUUCUGGUUUCCAACUCCCUGUCUGGCAUGGCACUCUUCCAAUGAGAGCUUCUCCAAGGGGCUCUGGGGGGACUGGCUGGGCCAUCCCUAGCACAUCAUGCUCAUUAGCAAGGCAGAUUCCUAGGUUGAACAGCUACCUGAGACAGGAUGCUCCAGGAGUCAAGCUGUACUGGAGUCUGAGCAGAGUGAUGGGAACUGUAAUGGCCAUGCCCCCAGGUCUCCCUGUUGAAUUGCCACCUGCGUGGAAAACAUAUGCAGCAAUGGCAAAGAACAGCCUUAGCACAAGCCAUGGCUAUGUCGGAAGCAGCACAGCCAGGAGAUUCCACCAAGGCAGAUGCUGUUACUAUCUUGAUGACGCUUACCCAUCCAGCAUGGAAGUGCUCUGUGGGUGAAAGAUGGAUUUGCUCUUGCUUCUGCAUUGGGCUGUGAUCCUGCAAGGGGAUAAGCCCCAGGGUUCUUUGCCAGCUUCAUAAGAGAGUGGGUCUGCUCCCAGCCACCCCAACCCACAGUUGUGCCCUGUCCUGUGGCCAAGUGUGGCUCCUGCCCAGGGAGUGUACUAACAGCCCUGUGUGGGGCUGCAAGCAACCCUGACCCCUCUCCCAACUGAGGCAGCUCUCCCAAAUAGACUUUCCUGGGAGCCUGCCUCAUUGCAUGACUUGGUCCAUGGUGCCCCAAGGGCCAGGCUCAGGCUGUCCACCCCAACAUGCCACUGGAAGCCAGCAUUGUGGCGGUAGCAUGUGCCUGAUGCAAGGGAAAGUGAUGGUGGAUGUGGAUAGCUGGGCUGGAGCAGCUGGAUGCCCAGCUCUUGCUCACCUGUUAGUGAAUGCUAACCCUUUCUAGCAGAUCCUUCAGAAACAGGGUACCUGUUAGGGGUCCGCAGUGAGAGAUGUUAGCCACACAGUCUGAACUUUGCUGUCCGCCUGGGGUGUUAGUGCUAAGUGCUUGCCCAGUACUGCUAAGUGCCCACUCUGUUUUCCCUGCCACUGAAGUAUCACAUACUCUAAGUCUGCACAGCAGAGAGCACCGAGGCAGAGUCGCAUGCCACAUAGCCUGCCUAAUGAAUUCUAGGGCAUCCUCAGGGUUUAUGACGGGUGGGAUGAUUGGAUGCUGGGAAGAGGGCUGGGCCACUGCAGAGCUGCAAGGGGAUUGGUGGCAGCAGUAGUCAGCAUCUUGUGCCCCUCUGAGCCAUGUAGACAGGGUCACAUGCAUGGGGGUACAGUUUUCCUUUUGUACAGAUGCGUAUGGUUUACGUGGUGUUCUUUUCAUGGUGUAACUUUCUGUUGUUGGGGGGGGGGGAUGUUUGCAGGCUGGAGCAGCUUAGGGAACCAACUAACUGUUCAUAUGUCUCCCCACCCCACCCCCAGCCACCCUGGGCCACUGGAGGGCAACUGUGGUGGAUUGGUGCUGGGGGCAGGACUGGUGGGGAGCUGCACUAGGUUAAGUUGACUUACAUCAGUGUUAGGACUAGUGGGCUUCUUCAGUGCUUUUGACACCCUUCCUCCAGUUGGACUGUUAGUUUAGCAAAAGGACUGUUCAGGCAGAAUGUAUAAUUUUUUUAAAAAGUAUAUUUUCAGAAAAGGUAGAAACCCAUUUAGGAAAACCUCAUUGGGAAGAAGGAUUCAUUUUUAGUACAUAAGAAAAAAAAGAAUUAAAUCCAAAUUUGUGAGAUGGUAGACAAGGAUGAUCGAAAGGCCAUGUGUAUCGUAUUGUAUUACAAACACUGAGAUUGCAAAUACAUGCAUUUAGAGAAGGCUUGUCGAUUCAUGUAUAGGUAUAUGAGCAAAUAAGAGUUGGGCACAGAGAGCUCCUUCUGCAGUGCCAGUACUGUAGACCAGGGCAUGCACCGACAUAACAGUGGUUUUGCAGGCACAUAGGCUAAAUACCUGUGGGAAAUAAUAAUAAUGUAUUCUACCUAAUGUGCAUAUCCUACAGUAAGAAGGCAGAAAAUGAAAUAUUGCUUAGGAACUAAAUCCAUGAUGAACACAACAGUAUGUGUGUGAAAAUUAGAUUACUGUUAUCUUUUGGCAUGUUGUAUAGUUUGCCCAAAUGGAAAGCAGGCUAUUCAAUUUACUUAGCCUGAAAUCAUUGUGCUUUAACUAUAAAUAGAUGUUAUGUAUUAAGAGAGAGAAAAGCUUCUAAUAAAUUAUGGGUAGCUAUAGAUGUUGCUCUGUACUGUUAAUCUAUUGUGAUGACCUUGUUUCAGAUCUACCAUAUGUUUUGAAAGAGAAGAUUUAUUAUAUACUGGGGUAAUAACAUUUUAAAAUACACAACUAGAAAAUGUAUAAUAAUAAAAACAUUCUUUAAUAUAUUAA